GUGGGGAAUAUUGGGCAAUGGGCGAAAGCCUGACCCAGCAACGCCGCGUGAAGGAAGAAGGUUUUCGGAUCGUAAACUUCUAUCCUAGGUGAAGAUAAUGACGGUAGCCAAGAAGGAAGCCCCGGCUAACUACGUGCCAGCAGCCGCGGUAAUACGUAGGGGGCAAGCGUUGUCCGGAAUGAUUGGGCGUAAAGGGCGCGUAGGCGGCCCGGUAAGUCUGAAGUGAAAGUCCUGCUUUUAAGGUGGGAAUUGCUUUGGAUACUGUCGGGCUUGAGUGCAGGAGAGGUAAGCGGAAUUCCCGGUGUAGCGGUGAAAUGCGUAGAGAUCGGGAGGAACACCAGUGGCGAAGGCGGCUUACUGGACUGUAACUGACGCUGAGGCGCGAAAGUGUGGGGAGCAAACAGGAUUAGAAACCCCGGUAGUCC
rnacentral:rRNA from 1 species